CGGCUGUAAUGCUGUAGUCUGUCAGGUCUCCAACCAUCACCGGCUGUAAUGCUGUAGUCUGUCAGGUCUCCAACCAUCACCGGCUGUAAUGCUGUAGUCUGUCAGGUCUCCAACCAUCACCGACUGUAAUGCUGUAGUCUGUUAGGUCUCCAACCAUCACCGGCUGUAGUCUGUCAGGUCUCCAACCAUCACCGGCUGUAGUCUGUCAGGUCUCCAACCAUCACCGGCUGUAGUCUGUCAGGUCUCCAACCAUCACCGGCUGUAGUCUGUCAGGUCUCCAACCAUCACCGGCUGUAGUCUGUCAGGUCUCCAACCAUCACCGGCUGUAGUCUGUCAGGUCUCCAACCAUCACCGGCUGUAGUCUGUCAGGUCUCCAACCAUCACCGGCUGUAGUCUGUCAGGUCUCCAACCAUCACCGGCUGUAGUCUGUCAGGUCUCCAACCAUCACCGGCUGUAGUCUGUUAGGUCUCCAACCAUCACCGGCUGUAAUAUUGUAUAGCGUGUCUAUCAGGUAGGGGACAUCACCUGUUUGGGGUGUAAUGCUGUAUAUUCUGUCAGAUAGGGGACGUCUCUAGUUUCUCCUAAUGCUGUAAUUCUCUCCUGUCCUGACACGGUCACGCCCUCCCCUAAAUAACCGCUCACA